rnacentral:rRNA from 1 species
AACGUAGGGGACAAGCGUUAUCCGGAUUUACUGGGCGUAAAGCGCCCGUAGGCGGCCUGACAAGUUGGACGUGAAAGCUCCUGGCUUAACUGGGAGAGGCCGUUCAAAACUGUCAAGCUAGAGUCUGGAAGAGGAGAGCGGAAUUCCCGGUGUAGUGGUGGAAUGCGCAGAUAUCAGGAGGAACACCGGUGGCGAAGGCGGAUCUCUGGGCCGGUACUGACGCUGAGGAGCGAAAGCGUGGGGGAGCGAACAGG